GGCGUAGGAUAUUUGAGAGGAGCUGUCCCUAGUACGAGAGGACCGGGAUGGACGAACCUCUAGUGCACCAGUUGUCACGCCAGUGGCACAGCUGGGUAGCUAUGUUCGGAAAGGAUAACCGCUGAAGGCAUCUAAGUGGGAAGCCUGCCUCAAGAUAAGAUAUCCCGUCCGCGUAAGCGGCCUAAAGGCCCCUGGAAGACUACCAGGUUGAUAGGCUGGAGGUGUAAGUCCGGUAACGGAUUUAGCUGACCAGUACUAAUCGGCCGUGCGGCUUAGCCACCUCUUUU
rnacentral:rRNA from 1 species